ACACAUGCAAGUCGAACGGGAAGAGAUGAAGAGCUUGCUCUUUAUCGAAUCCAGUGGCAAACGGGUGAGUAACACGUAAACAACCUGCCCUCAGGAUGGGGACAACAGACGGAAACGACUGCUAAUACCGAAUACGUUCCACGGGCCGCAUGACCUGUGGAAGAAAGGGUAGCCUCUACCUGUAAGCUAUCGCCUGAAGAGGGGUUUGCGUCUGAUUAGGCAGUUGGUGAGGUAACGGCUCACCAAACCAACGAUCAGUAGCCGGUCUGAGAGGAUGAACGGCCACACUGGAACUGAGACACGGUCCAGACUCCUACGGGAGGCAGCAGUGGGGAAUCUUCCGCAAUGGACGAAAGUCUGACGGAGCAACGCCGCGUGAGUGAAGACGGCCUUCGGGUUGUAAAGCUCUGUGAUCCGGGACGAAAGAGCCUGAGGUAAAUAGCCUGAGGAAGUGACGGUACCGGAAAAGCAAGCCACGGCUAACUACGUGCCAGCAGCCGCGGUAAUACGUAGGUGGCAAGCGUUGUCCGGAAUUAUUGGGCGUAAAGCGCGCGCAGGCGGCUUACUAAGUCCAUCUUAAAAGUGCGGGGCUUAACCCCGUGAUGGGAUGGAAACUGGAAAGCUGGAGUAUCGGAGAGGAAAGUGGAAUUCCUAGUGUAGCGGUGAAAUGCGUAGAGAUUAGGAAGAACACCGGUGGCGAAGGCGACUUUCUGGACGAAAACUGACGCUGAGGCGCGAAAGCGUGGGGAGCAAACAGGAUUAGAUACCCUGGUAGUCCACGCCGUAAACGAUGGAUACUAGGUGUAGGAGGUAUCGACCCCUUCUGUGCCGGA
rnacentral:rRNA from 1 species